rnacentral:rRNA from 1 species
GACGAACGCUGGCGGCGUGCUUAACACAUGCAAGUCGAACGGAAAGGCCCUGCUUUUGUGGGGUGCUCGAGUGGCGAACGGGUGAGUAACACGUGAGUAACCUGCCCUUGACUUUGGGAUAGCUUCAGGAAACUGGGGCUAAUACCAGAUAGGAGCUCCUGCUGCAUGGUGGGGGUUGGAAAGUUUCGGCGGUUGGGGAUGGACUCGCGGCUUAUCAGCUUGUUGGUGGGGUAGUGGCUUACCAAGGCUUUGACGGGUAGCCGGCCUGAGAGGGUGACCGGCCACAUUGGGACUGAGAUACGGCCCAGACUCCUACGGGAGGCAGCAGUGGGGAAUAUUGCACAAUGGGCGGAAGCCUGAUGCAGCAACGCCGCGUGCGGGAUGACGGCCUUCGGGUUGUAAACCGCUUUCGCCUGUGACGAAGCGUGAGUGACGGUAAUGGGUAAAGAAGCACCGGCUAACUACGUG